GGAGACGCCGAGGCCCGAUGCCGUAUCCUGCCGCCCGUUUUACCCGCGGGAAAGCCGAGGCCCGGUGCUGUAUUCUGCCGCCCAUUUUACCCGCGGGGAAGCUGAGGCCCAGUGCUGUUUAAUAUCUUACUCAUGUUCACUUGAUGAGAAAGUGACAGAUCUGAGACAAACCCAGGGAGAAGUGAAAUUCUACCUCACUUUUUUAAAAGAAGAGCCUGGAAUUGGCCUAUCCGUCUUUUUCCCCGUUGGAUCACAGAGCAGAAAGGAAGCUAAGACCUCUAGUACAGUGUUCAAUGGAACUGGUGAGAAAAGACGUCCUUGCUGUGUUCCUGAUAUGAAGAGGAAAGCAGUCCUUCUCCAUUAAGUAAAAUGCUGACAACAUGAGCCUCCCGUGGUCGGAACGGGCUUGUGAAGGCGGUGCUGGGGUGCACCAGGGCAGCAGCUACAGGGUCAAGCCUGAGACACCUGAAGCCCUGGACUUGGAAUCUGAAGCUGUCAUCAGCCAGUACACCUAUGAACCUGUGGAAGACCUGAAGUACCUGUUUAAAAGACAGCCAAAAGAUAAAAUGCACCAGCUGGAGUCGACAUUAAAGGGCCCCAUUUCCCAUUUGCUGCAGAAGAUGUUUAAUUGGAAGUCUCUCCCUGUCCUUUUGACCGUCUGCUUUUGCAUGUGAUUUGACUAUGCGCUGAGGACCUAGCGUGGUAUAUCAGCAAAGUGGAAAAGUGACUGAAGUGACUGUUUAUCAUCUUGUACCAAGUUACACCACUUUAAGCUUUAACUCCACAGCUCUUGCAUUAUUUUAAAACCGUCUGGCAGAUCUCUAAAACUAAUGGUACAAACCACUCUGUGAUACAUUAAAAUACAUCCCACUCUGUCAUACUGCAAACAAGUAGCUGCUCCCCAGUCUUUGAAAAAGUACUUUCAAGAUAAAAUAUGUACUCAUGGGUUCUGCAGGUUUUUAAAAAGUCUUGAAUCUUCACAGAUUUACUGGGGGGGAAGGGGCGUUUCAUGUAAAAUGUGUUUUUCCUUGACAUUUAGAGGUCUUGCAAAGUGGUUUAUUAUAGAUCUUGUGGACAUCUCGCUAUUUAAUUAAAUUUCAGAAAUAUAUUCUCUGCACUCAUAAGAAGGAAUAUGAAGAGUG
ensembl:lncRNA MIR646HG MIR646 host gene